GACGAACGCUGGCGGCGUGCUUAACACAUGCAAGUCGAACGGAAAGGCCCUGCUUUUGUGGGGUGCUCGAGUGGCGAACGGGUGAGUAACACGUGAGUAACCUGCCCUUGACUUUGGGAUAACUUCAGGAAACUGGGGCUAAUACCGGAUAGGAGCUCCUGCUGCAUGGUGGGGGUUGGAAAGUUUCGGCGGUUGGGGAUGGACUCGCGGCUUAUCAGCUUGUUGGUGGGGUAGUGGCUUACCAAGGCUUUGACGGGUAGCCGGCCUGAGAGGGUGACCGGCCACAUUGGGACUGAGAUACGGCCCAGACUCCUACGGGAGGCAGCAGUGGGAAAUAUUGCACGAUGGGCGGAAGCCUGAUGCAGCAACGCCGCGUGCGGGAUGACGGCCUUCGGGUUGUAAACCGCUUUCGCCUGUGACGAAGAGUGAGUGACGGUAAUGGGUAAAGAAGCACCAGCUAACUACGUG
rnacentral:rRNA from 1 species